rnacentral:rRNA from 1 species
UACGUAGGGGGCAAGCGUUGUCCGGAUUUAUUGGGCGUAAAGAGCGUGUAGGCGGCCUGGAAGGUCAGCUGUGAAACUCGAGGCUCAACCUCGAGACGUCGGUUGAAACCACCUGGCUAGAGUCCGGAAGAGGAGAAUGGAAUUCCCGGUGUAGCGGUGAAAUGCGCAGAUAUCGGGAAGAACACCCGUGGCGAAGGCGGUUCUCUGGGACGGUACUGACGCUGAGACGCGAAAGCGUGGGGAGCGAACAGG